GGAUGGACCUCUCUCUAAGGCACAAACCACCUUUCUUGCUGCUCUUCCUGCUGCCAUCGAUUAUAUUCUUCUUCCUCCUGUUAACUUCGACGACUUAGCUGACGACGUUAGGAUUGAGACGCGUAUUUCCCUCACCGUCACUCGCUCUCUUCCUUCCCUUCGUGUUGCGCUCAAGUCUUUGGUUGACACCACCAAGUUGCCCGCUCUCGUGGUCGAUCUUUUCGGCACGGAUGCCUUUGAUGUAGCCAAUGAAUUCAAGCUCCCGCCAUAUAUCUUCUUCCCUUCCACCGCCACGGCUUUAGCGUUUUUCUCCUACCUGCCUAAGCUUCAUGAGAUGGUUGCAUGUGAAUUUAGAGACUUGCCCGGGCCAAUUCGAGUCCCGGGUUGUGUACCAAUUCACGGGAGGGAUCUCCUCGACCCGGCUCAGGACCGAAAGAACGACGCCUACAAGUGGCUGCUUCACCACGCGAGGAGGUACAGCCUGGCCGAGGGAAUCCUGGUGAACAGCUUCAAGGACUUGGAGCCUGGACCUUUAAAAGCGUUGCAGGAGCAAGAACCGGGUAAGCCACCGGUUUAUCCGGUUGGACCACUUAUACAGAUGGGCUCAGGGGACAGGAGGGGGGAGGAGUCGGAAUGCUUGAAAUGGUUGGAUGAUCAGCCCAGCGGGUCCGUUCUGUACAUUUCGUUUGGGAGCGGCGGGACCCUCUCCCAUAAUCAGCUAAUCGAGCUAGCAUUUGGAUUGGAGAUGAGCGAGCAAAGAUUCUUGUGGGUGGUCCGGAGUCCAAAUGAUGGAGUUGCCAAUGCCACUUACUUCACCGUCCACAGUCAAAAUGAUCCUCUGGCUUUUAUGCCGGAAGGGUUCUUGGAUAGGAUCAAGGGUCGAGGUUUUUUGCUGCCAUCUUGGGCUCCACAGGCUAAAAUUCUCGGCCACAGUUCCACCGGUGGGUUUCUGACCCACUGCGGUUGGAACUCGACUCUUGAAAGCGUGGUUGAGGGGAUUCCGCUUAUUGCUUGGCCGCUCUACGCGGAGCAGAAGAUGAACGCCGUAAUGCUUGCGGAGGAUCUAAAAGUUGCUUUGAGGCCAAAGGCUGACGAAAAUGGAUUCGUGGGAAGAGUUGAGAUUGCAAACAUGGUAAAGAGGUUAAUGGAAGGAGAAGAAGGGAAGAGGCUCCGUAGCCGAAUGAAGGAGCUCAAGGAUGCAGCUGCUAAGGUUUUGAGCCAAGACGGUUCUUCCGCAGAAGCUCUAGCCCAAGUUGCCGGCAAGUGGCAGGCCAAAAUUUGUACGUAAAUUAGAUUAUAGCCUCGUCUUAGUUUUGCCCUUUCUGUUCUUGGUGUAUUUUUUUUUAUUUAAAAGCACCUUGUUCUGCGUUG
rnacentral:lncRNA from 1 species